rnacentral:rRNA from 1 species
AGCGAACGCUGGCGGCAGGCCUAACACAUGCAAGUCGAACGAACCUUUCGGGGUUAGUGGCGGACGGGUGAGUAACACGUGGGAACGUGCCUUUAGGUUCGGAAUAACUCAGGGAAACUUGUGCUAAUACCGAAUGUGCCCUUCGGGGGAAAGAUUUAUCGCCUUUAGAGCCGCCCGCGUCUGAUUAGCUAGUUGGUUGAGGUAAUGGCUCACCAAGGCGACGAUCAGUAGCUGGUCUGAGAGGAUGAUCAGCCACAUUGGGACUGAGACACGGCCCAAACUCCUACGGGAGGCAGCAGUGGGGAAUCUUGCGCAAUGGGCGAAAGCCUGACGCAGCCAUGCCGCGUGAAUGAUGAAGGUCUUAGGAUUGUAAAAUUCUUUCACCGGGGACGAUAAUGACGGUACCCGGAGAAGAAGCCCCGGCUAACUUCGUG